rnacentral:snRNA from 1 species
GGAUGUGAGGGCGAUCUGGCUGUGAUAUCUGUCACCCCAUUGAUCGCCAGGGUUGAUUCGGCUGAUCUGGCUGGCUAUGCGGGUGUCCCUUUCCUCCUUCACCACUCCAUGUGCGUCCCUCCCAAAGCUGUGCACUCGGUCGAAGAGGACGACCAGCCCCGAUAGAGGAGGACUGGUCUUAGGUCAAGGGUAUACGAGUAGCUGCACUCCCCUGCUAGAACCUCAGUCCUGAUUUUUUUUUUUUUUUUUAAGAUAGAGUCUCACUCUGUCCUCCAGGCUGGAGUGCAGUGGCGCCAUCUUGGCUCACUGCAACCUCCGCCUCUUGGGUUCAAGUGAUUCUCCUGC